UGAAACCCCUGGUCUGGUUUAAAUAUUUAAAUCAUCAACCACAGAGAAAGAUUUUCCUAUUAUUCGACUUGAAUUGAUAGCAAUAUUUCAAUCUGAUAACUGAAUUGAUUUUCAGACAUUAGAAGAACUUUGUUGACGUGGCUAUUUUGCUUGUAUCAUAUAUGAUGAGUCCAAGUGAAUCCAUUAAACUGUACGAAUUCCAGUCGCUGCAUUGAGGUACUGCGUACGAAAAACUGAUUGAGAAAAAAUCAGAUGAAAUUUCAAAGGGACAUCACGAAAACUAUUUAUGGUUUGGAUUUCUUCCUGGACUAUGCUACGUGGAUUUCCGCUUACUCAUUAUGAUAGCAAUUAUGUCUGAUGGCUUUAAGUCUCUUAAAACCGUGAAAGUAGAUGUGUCAGAUUUAACAGUAGAUUUCAUUCUCAGUUGUUAGCUUGCUAUUCUAUAAUUCUCGAAAGCUCAAAUUGAGAUUCGACGAGGAGAAGUUGAGGAGUUUCAAAGGGAUCUUGAACAAGAGAAUAACUUUUCUUCUGAUUACAUUCAAAUGAGUGACAUUACACCUGUAUACUAAUAAUUUGAGAAUACAUUCAAUAUGGUAGUUCAAAAUGGAAAAAUAAAUAAAAUACAAAUUCUUUAAUUUCUUUUGUUUUAAAGAAAAAAAAUUGUCACACCAAGGAAGAAUAUAAAUAAUAAACCUAUAAACAUAACACAAAACAAAAACAAGGUCGAUGCAAAUGCCAAAUGGAUACAAAAUUAACUAGAUUCAAGAAUUGUUAAGCCCUCUCGCGUAUUUUUUUCUUUUUCUAGUUCAACUGCAGAGGAUGAGGCGUACUCUAAAGGUUCAUUAGAUUG